rnacentral:rRNA from 1 species
UACGAAGGGGGCUAGCGUUGCUCGGAAUUACUGGGCGUAAAGCGCACGUAGGCGGAUUGUUAAGUCGGGGGUGAAAUCCUGGAGCUCAACUCCAGAACUGCCUUCGAUACUGGGAGUCUUGAGUCCGGGAGAGGUGAGUGGAACUGCGAGUGUAGAGGUGAAAUUCGUAGAUAUUCGCAAGAACACCAGUGGCGAAGGCGGCUCACUGGCCCGGUACUGACGCUGAGGUGCGAAAGCGUGGGGAGCAAACAGG